rnacentral:rRNA from 1 species
CCUACGGGAGGCAGCAGUGAGGAAUAUUGGUCAAUGGGCGCAAGCCUGAACCAGCCAAGUCGCGUGAAGGAUGACUGCCCUACGGGUUGUAAACUUCUUUUAUAAAGGAAUAAAGUGAUGCACGUGUGCAUUUUUGCAUGUACUUUAUGAAUAAGGAUCGGCUAACUCCGUGCCAGCAGCCGCGGUAAUACGGAGGAUCCGAGCGUUAUCCGGAUUUAUUGGGUUUAAAGGGUGAGUAGAUGGGUUUUUAAGUCAGCUGUGAAAGUUUGCGGCUCAACCAUAAAAUUGCAAUUGAUACUGGAAGUCUUGAGUACAGUUGAGGUAGGCGGAAUUCGUGGUGUAGCGGUGAAAUGCAUAGAUAUCACGAAGAACUCCGAUUGCGAAGGCAGCUUACUAAACUGUAACUGACAUUGAUGCUCGAAAGUGUGGGUAUCAAACAGGAUUAGAUACCCGUGUAGUC